CCGUGAAGUAGCAAAUUAGCAAAUACGGUUAGACCAAAUAGUCUGUAAUUUAAUAUAUCACUUUGUCGUCUAUGCGCUUAGUCUCGAUCUGUUUAUAAGCCAAUAUAAAUAUAUACUUCUUGACGGAAGUAACAAGUUUUUCAAAUGUGUUUUUCCCACCCACUUUCAAAAUUCCGCACGGGACGGCGCCCCCUUUUCAUUUUUGCGCCCCCCAAGAAUUGCCAGCUGGGGGGGCCAUGGCCCCCCGGCCCCCCCUGCCAGCACGCCACUGUUAAUCGCGUGACUGAAUUCUAAAAACUACACACGUAAAAACGCACAGUCGCACUGCUCUGGUCGCACUGCUUGUUCCCAGUUGUUGUAACAUGUUUGAAACAAACUGUUAACAACUUGUAACAAGCUUGAUGGCAUUAUCAGACUUCUUACAAGGUUGUUCUAACAAGUUUGAUACAUUCAUGAUAUAGCAAGAAUGUUACAAGGUUGACGACACAAGGUUGAAACAUUAUUGUUAGGGGCGGAC